rnacentral:rRNA from 1 species
UACGGAGGGUGCAAGCGUUAUCCGGAUUUACUGGGUUUAAAGGGUGUGUAGGCGGUGCUUUAAGUCAGUGGUGAAAUCUCCGAGCUCAACUUGGAAACUGCCAUUGAUACUAUUGAUCUUGAAUUUUGUUGAGGUAGGCGGAAUAAGUCAUGUAGCGGUGAAAUGCAUAGAUAUGACUUAGAACACCAAUUGCGAAGGCAGCUUGCUAAACAAAUAUUGACGCUGAGGCACGAAAGCGUGGGGAGCAAACAGG